rnacentral:rRNA from 1 species
GUGAAUGGCUGCAGUACCCUGACUGUACAAAGGUAGCGUAAUAAUUUGGCUCUUAACUGGAGUCUAGAAUGAAAGGGGGCAUAAGACAACUCUAUUAAACUUAGAUUAAACAAACUUAAGUGGCUUAUAAAAACUUUAGCCUGACUCACAUGAAGACAAGACCCUGUAGAGCUG